rnacentral:rRNA from 2 species
UACGGGAGGCAGCAGUAGGGAAUCUUCCGCAAUGGACGAAAGUCUGACGGAGCAACGCCGCGUGAGUGAUGAAGGCUUUCGGGUCGUAAAACUCUGUUGUUAGGGAAGAACAAGUGCUAGUUGAAUAAGCUGGCACCUUGACGGUACCUAACCAGAAAGCCACGGCUAACUACGUGCCAGCAGCCGCGGUAAU